GUCGUAGCCCAAUGGUAGGGUGCUUACCUAGCAUGCAUGAGGCACUGGGUUCGAUUCUCAGCAUUGACA
rnacentral:tRNA from 1 species